AUGCUCAAUGAAACGACAUGUAUAGUAAAAUUGGGACGAUACAGAAGAGAUUAGCAUGGCCAUACACAAAGGUAAUAUGCAAAUUUAUGAAGUGUUUCACAUUUUU